GACGAACGCUGGCGGCGUGCCUAAUACAUGCAAGUCGAACGAGGGGCGGACGGGUGAGGAAUGUAUGGGGAUCUGCGCGAUAGAGGGGGAGAAAAACGGGAAAAGGUGGCUAAUACGGCAUACUAUCGGAUGAAACCAUAUGGGAUUAGCUAGUAGGUGGGGUAAAGGCUCACCUAGGCGACGAUCUCUAGCUGUUCUGAGAGGAUGAUCAUCCCCACUGGAACUGAGACACGGCCCAGACUCCUCCGGUAGGCAGCAGUGGGGAAUAUUGCACAAUGGGCGCAAGCCUGAUGCAGCCAUGCCGCGUGUAUGAAGAAGGCCUUCGGGUUGUAAAGUACUUUCAGCGGGGAGGCGUUACCCGCAGAAGAAGCACCGGCUAACUCCGUGCCAGCAGCCGCGGUAAUAC
rnacentral:rRNA from 1 species